UUUGACGUCACUAUAUCAUGCAUUCAGCACAUCAUAUACACCUGUCGCUCGGACAUCAUAAAACAAGAUCUUAUACAUAGAACUGUCGACCUUGCCCAGAUGCGCUCCGCCUUUGAAUUCACAUGUGAUCAUUUAGACGUCCAAGUCGAGUCAGCCCACUGUGUGACAAGGUAUAAAGACCAAAUAAACGAGUGCAGUUCACAGGUGGCAAAAGAAUUCGAAAGAGAAAAACAGUUUGCCUAUACUACGGAACUGUAUUUGAAACUUAUAUGCAGCUUUGUAGAUGCCAUAACGAUGUGUGCCGAACGGCCGGUGAGGUCGUAUUGUAGUGCCGAGUCGGCGGAUGUGACUGUUCGUCUGAUGUCAGGACUCAAACCGCCAGGAUGUCUUCCAUACAGCCGCUCCACACAUAUCUCAUUCUCUUUUUAUACAGUACUAAUCAUGUGUUUCAUCGCUUUGGUUGUACAAUUUGUUUCUUAUACAUAACAUUCCGGUUACAUCAGAUAAUUUAUAAUACAUUGUAAAUAAACUCAACGUUUCCUCGCCAUUUAAUUCAUAUUCCUUUACCUAUGCAAUAAAUGUAUUUUCAUAUAUUAUGCUUGUUUUUGGCUUUGAUACAUUUGUAUUACCUACAGGUCAUAGUGGAUUUUAAGCGUAAUACUUCUUGAAUAUCAUUGUUUAAACCCUUUAGACAUUGAUUGUGCAACAACAUUAUCAUCAAGAAAUAAUAAACAU